GCUUGAAUAGUUUAAAGAAAAUUUUAAUUUGUGGAAUUAAUGAUACAAUUAUUUGUUUUAGGUC
rnacentral:tRNA from 1 species